rnacentral:rRNA from 1 species
UACGUAGGGGGCAAGCGUUGUCCGGAAUUAUUGGGCGUAAAGCGCGUGUAGGCGGCCAGAUAAGUCCGCUGUGAAAUCUCGAGGCUCAACUUCGAGCUGUCGGUGGAAACUGUCUGGCUAGAGUCCGGAAGAGGAGAAUGGAAUUCCUGGUGUAGCGGUGAAAUGCGUAGAUAUCCGGAGGAACACCGGUGGCGAAGGCGGCUUCCUGGACCGACACUGACGCUGAGGCGCGAAAGCUAGGGGAGCAAACGGG